CAUUGUGAUUCUCACCAUAGUAUCUGUGCUUGUAAUUUGUUCAUGCGCAUUUCGUGAAGGGAAGCCUAAAGGAUCUCCUAAAGAAAAUGUGAAGCCAAGGACUGUGGAUGCUGUUCCAGCAGGAGGAUCUCUUCCACAUCCGACCAGUACACGGUUUCUAGCCUAUGAAGAACUUAAAGAAGCAACAAACAACUUUGAACCUGCAAGCAUACUCGGAGAGGGUGGGUUUGGUAGAGUUUUCAAGGGUGUCUUAAGUGACGGUACAGCCGUAGCAAUUAAGAGGCUUACUAGUGGUGGUCAACAAGGCGACAAAGA
rnacentral:misc_RNA from 1 species